UACAUUUAUUCUAUGUUUUAAUCAGAAUUUCUAUACCAAUCAAUAUGUCUUCUGUUAAUGUCAUUGCUGAACUGUUAUUCCCCUUAUCUGCCUUUUGUCUUUUAGAGAGAGGAGAGCUAACAACACGAGGACUCAAGAAGAAGACAAGUGGAGAGGAGAUAUCAUGCAUAGUGAAACCUCUCAUGAAAAAAGAUAAAUAUACAUUUAUUAUCUCAUUUUCAGAAUUUCUGUACUGAUAAAUAGUUCUUUUGUUGCUGAAUUUAUUAAGUGUUAUUUUUCCUUGUCUGUCAUUUGUCUUUUAGAGAGAGGAGAGGGAGACAUGAGGAUGAAACAAGUCAAAGACCAGAUGAGACAAGCGGCAAAGAGAGGAGACACCGUGCAUUGUGAACCCUCUUAUUUAAAAAGAUAAAUAAACAUAAAGAGAAGAAGAAAGGAGUCGACACGAGACGAGUCGAGGGGAGAGGAAAACAUCAUGUGCUGCAAUCUCUCUCAUUUGAAAAGAUAAAUAUACAUUUUUCUGUUAAUAUUUAUCACAAUUCAUAUGCAGAUGAAUAGUUCUUCUCAUUGUUUAUUAGCUAUUAUCUCCCUUUUUCUGCCAUUUGUCUUUUAAGGAGAGGAGAGGAAACAAAGACCAGACGAGAUGAGAUGAGGCAGCAGCUCUGUGAACCCUCUCAUUUAAAAAGAUAAAUAGACAUUUAUUCUAUAUUCUUAUCUGAACUACCAUACUGAUCAAUACUCCAUGUGUUCACCAGGGUUGCUGAAGUUAUUAACUGUUAUUCUCUCUGUCUAUCUUCUUCCCCAGAUGUCCUUAUCACAGACAGUCUGCCAUCAUCCAGAGAUCCAAGUGGAAAAGUCUCCACAAAGUCUGCAACUUUGCACAGUGUUACAGAAACACAUGUCAUGUUUUCCCUAAAGCCUGAUAUUUCAUCCACAAAGAGUUCUUUAAACUGCUUUGGGUAGAUCUUUGUUUAGGACAACAAUAACAUUGUUUCUUUUUUAAAUUAUUAUAUUAUUUAAAAUGAUCAAGGAAAAAUAAUUUCAUAAAUCUAACCUUCUAACGAGUUCUGUCUGUGUAGCCACAUGAUGAACAUUGACGCACAAAUGAUACAGAAAAUAGCUGCUACUUAAAUAAAUGAAUUGUUGGCUUUAGUCUCUCCAGGGAUUUGUUGUUAAUAAAAAGCUAAAAUAUCUUUUAAAACCUUGUUUCUUUCCUUUACAGGUUAUUUUUUGUAGUAACUGAUAACUAGCUUCUGAAUUCUGAAUGCAUCCUUUGAAUGAAGAUUUGUGUCACACCCGCUCUUUGUCUUUAAUAAACUAGUUUUCAGAUAAGUUA